UUCUAAGACAUUUUCUCUGGAAAACAGAAAAAAUGACUCAUAACUGCAUUUGUGUUUUACAGCAAAUCUAUAAAUACACAGACAGGCUGUGAGUCAAAAACAAAGGCCUCAAAUAGGGAAGUGUACCAGUAAAUCUAUCUUUUUAGUCGAGGGUUAAAAAUGAUACUCCUGUGGCAUAAUGUUGCGAUUUCAAGGGACUAGUCCGGGGGUGGGCAAACUUGUUGACUUGUGGGCCACAAAGGGUUCUAAAAUUUGACAGAAGAGUGGUACCAGGAGCAGACGGGUGGCGUGUUUUGGUAAUCCACUUCAUAAGAGAAAGAAAAACCAGGAAAACAUUUCAUACAAGGUCAAAAAUACCACAGUAGUAUCUAAACACUGCCGUCAUCUGACUGGGUCAUGCGGCUCAUGGCUGAUAACCACAUGCAUGAAAUGAAGCGGCGAGCCACUCCCACACGUUUUUAACCCGUGAUCGUCAUAGUGAUUCCUCCGGAUGAAUCCUCACCAGGUAACUCUUGAGGCGGAUGAAGUGAACUCUCAUGGGAAUCGUGUGGUCGGAGUUGCAGCUGAGAGCUUUGAUCCUGUCCACCAGGUCGGCGCAGAACUGGUAGCCUCCUUUCAGCACGCACAGCACCACGAUGUCGUGGUCGCCCAGGUCGUCCAUGAUGUUUCGAGCCAGCCGCUCCGUCCUUGAAACGACAAAGAGGCGCUACGGCUGUCCAGGGAGAAGGCCAAACAUCUGGGAGGUCAUCUGAGUUUUGCACCUAUCCAUGAUGACGCCAUGCGGGAUGAUGACGUAGUCCAAGUCUCCAGAGUAGUGCGCCGGGUAGCUGAAGAGGUCCAGGCUGUAACCCGGCCAGUCAUCGUGGAUCUGAGAGCAAACGCAGCAGCAAACAUUACAUCUCCAGUCAGCAUUUUUGCACGUUUUUUUGUUUUGUUUUUUUUAAGGGGCGCAAACUUCUCCACGUGGCGCCACCCUCUGCACAACUGCGCUCACUCACGCUUUCGUUCCCUCCAAAAUAGAAGUUAAAUUACCACAAUUCCAUCGCGUUUGCCCUCGAGCCGGACACAAACUUCAGCCAUGUUGAAGGAAAAACCCGUUUCAUCCAAAGUGCUGCGAGUCUGCGGAGGGUUUGGACCGGGCCGGACCGGAGGAGGAAUGUGGAGCUCUAUUGUGAAACCGCCCGGGAGUUCCUGCCCCUGCAGGGACACACGCGGCCACUGGGGGCGCUGUGACACAACAAAUCCACAGCAUCAGAAUGGAGACGGGAGUCUGCAGGCUCUGCAGCCGAGUCAAAGGGAGAAAGAAGCACUCUUUCUUAUUUAAUACAAUAAAACUUUCAUUUUUAAGAGUUAUUUCACUUUUAAAAGGUGCUCCUGUUUAUAUCAUUGCAAAAUAUUUAUUUUUGUUUUUAUGUUAGCAACAUUUUUUUUAAUAUAAAUGAUUAUUUUUUUUCAAACAAUCUGAAGUUGUCUUUAUUAUAAAAUAUCUACAGUUUUGAUUCGAUCCAUUUGACCUAAUAUGUUGUAUUACAAAGCAAUCUGGUGUGAAGGUUAAUAACAUUUUCAAAGGGGAACAAAGAUAAUUACUAAUUUCAAGAAAAAUGGAAAAAUAGUAACAAUAAAAGAAUAGAAAAAUAAACUAUAACAGCCGUAUGGGAUGGAGAACUGACCGCCUCCUUUCAUAAGGAAAUACAUGCUUUAAACAAAAGAUGGAGCAGACUAGAUAAACAAUAUUUAGAUUUUUAAGUUCUUAAAUGGAGGACCAAAUUAACAUUUUAAUAGUUUAAUGUGCAUAUGAUUUUGGGGAUGGAUAAAUAAGCU